UGGGGUAUGGCGAAGUGGCUGAACGCACCAGACUUUGACUCUGGCAUUUACGUUGGUUCAAAUCCAACUACCCCAG
rnacentral:tRNA from 1 species